AACGUUGUCACCGGGGAUGAACAACUUUUGUCACGUGACCGCAAAAGUCAACGCCGGUUGCAGAAACAGAUUGUAAUCUUGUACAUUAAGAAACAUGACGCUCGUGUGUGAAAUCUGUGGAAAGACAUUUAAAUCGAAGUGGGGGUUAAAGCUUCAUGAUAAGCGCCACAGAGGGACUGGACGAUUCGCCUGUUGUGGAAAAACAUUUUACACAAAACAGGCGUUCAACAGACACAGAUGCAGCAUUCAUGGUGUUGAAAAGCCGUUCCCCUGUGAACAAUGCGGCAAAAAGUUUUCAACCAAAGAUGACCUGAAUCGUCACGUCCGGAGGGAGGUUGCUGCAAAGCAAUUUACCUGCUCAAUUUGCAAUGCAACGCUCCGGGAGAAAAUUGACCUUCAGGCCCACCUUGCCACCCACAAUGGAGAGAAAAACUUUGCUUGUGAUAUGUGUGAAAAGAGGUACAGGCACCGCAGUAGUCUAUCAAAGCACAGAUCUGCAAAGCACCGGGCCUAGUCAUCUGUUGCAUGACGAUGAUAAGACCAAGAAUUAUUUUUAAUUCUUACCAAUGUGCCGUGGUUAUUUUCUUAAUUAUUGAAAAUACAGACUGUCAUACAAUAAUAUAUAGUAUUACGCGUGUUUUUGCGUCUUAAACAUUGUGUUUCAUAUCGUUUAUCUUGUGUUGUUUUGUUUGAUAUUCCUGUUUUUAAUAAGAUUAUUGUUGUAAUAUUUAUCAUUCUAAUUUAAAAUGAUUAUGAUAAUGGUUGAUCUCAUACAAAUUAUUGUGUUCAUUAUUGCUCAUCUGUGAUUACUGUUGAUCUCAGCCCAUGAAUUGUGAUUUAUAUUGAUUAUCUGUGAUUAUUGUUGAUCUUAUCAAAAUAAUUGUAAUUUAUGUUGAUUAUCUGUGAAUUUUUUAUCUUAACCUAUUAAUAGUGAUUUAUAUUAUCUGUGAUUAUUGUUGAUCUUAUCAAAAUCAUUGUGAUUUAUGUUGAUUAUCUGUGAUUAUUGUUGAUCUCAACCGAUUAAUUGUGAUUUAUAUAACCAGUGAUUAUUGUUGAUCUUUUCAAAAUCAUUGUAAUUUAUGUUGAUUAUCUGUGAUUAUUGUUGAUCUUUUCGAAAUCAUUGUAAUUUAUGUUGAUUAUCUGUGAUUAUUGUUGAUCUUUUCAAAAUCAUUGUAAUCUAUGUUGAUUAUCUGUGAUUAUUGUUGAUCUUUUCAAAAUCAUUGUAAUUAAUGUUGAUUAUCUGUGAUUAUUGUUGAUCUUUUCAAAAUCAUUGUAAUUUAUGUUGAUUAUCUGUGAUUAUUGUUGAUCUCACCAUAUCCGCUGGAAUAUACAUUUGAGCCGCGCUCUGUGAAAAGGGGGUUUAAUGCAUGUGCGUAAAGUGCAGUCCACAUAGGCUAAUCAGGGACGGCACUUUCCGCUUUUAUGAUAUGUUUUGUUAAAAGAAAGUCUCUUCUGAGCAAAAAUCGAGUUUAUCGGAAAGGUUUGUCCCUAAUUAGCCUGUACGGAAUGCACAGGCUAAUAUGUGACGACACCUUACGCACAUGCAUUAAACCCCCUUUUCACAGAGCGAGACUCAUUUGUAAUCUGCGAUUUUUGUUUAUCUAUUUCGAAUCAAUAUGAUUAAAAUAUAUUUUUGGUGAGUUAGCUUUUUGUCUCAUUGGAAUCAUUGUGCGAAUUGUCAACAAUUACAUGUAAAUCUGUAAUUCCUUCUCAAGUUGCACAUAGGCCAGUUUAAUGUUUUGCGUAUAAGCUAUUAUUGCGAUACGGGAUAUUCUUUGCAGCAAUAAAACAAUUAAUCUGCA